UAAAGAGCUCGUAGGCGGUUUGUCGCGUCUGCUGUGAAAACUGGAAGCUCAACUUCCAGCCUGCAGUGGGUACGGGCAGACUAGAGUGCGGUAGGGGAGAACGGAAUUCCUGGUGUAGCGGUGGAAUGCGCAGAUAUCAGGAGGAACACCGAUGGCGAAGGCAGUUCUCUGGGCCGUUACUGACGCUGAGGAGCGAAAGCGUGGGGAGCGAACAGGAUUAGAUACCCUGGUAGUCCACGCCGUAAACGGUGGGUGCUAGCUGUGGGCCACAUUCCACGUGGUCCGUGACGAAGUUAACACAUUAAGCACCCCGCCUGGGGAGUACGGCCGCAAGGCUAAAACUCAAAGGAAUUGACGGGGGCCCGCACAAGCGGCGGAGCAUGCGGAUUAAUUCGAUGCAACGCGAAGAACCUUACCAAGGCUUGACAUAUAGAGGAAAAGUGCAGAAAUGUACUCCCCGUAAGGUCUCUAUACAGGUGGUGCAUGGUUGUCGUCAGCUCGUGUCGUGAGAUGUUGGGUUAAGUCCCGCAACGAGCGCAACCCUCGUCCUAUGUUGCCAGCACGUAAUGGUGGGAACUCAUGGGAUACUGCCGGGGUCAACUCGGAGGAAGGUGGGGAUGACGUCAAAUCAUCAUGCCCCUUAUGUCUUGGGCUUCACGCAUGCUACAAUGGCCGGUACAGAGGGCUGCAAUACCGUAAGGUGGAGCGAAUCCCAAAAAGCCGGUCUCAGUUCGGAUUGAGGUCUGCAACUCGACCUCAUGAAGUCGGAGUCGCUAGUAAUCGUAGAUCAGCAACGCUACGGUGAAUACGUUCCCGGGCCUUGUACACACCG
rnacentral:rRNA from 1 species